UCAAAAUUUAUUGUUGGUGUUUCUUAGGGCUUUUGGAGUCUUAGUGUGGGAAACAUUAACUUUGGGUCAACAGCCGUAUCCGGGUCUCUCCAAUAUAGAAGUUUUACACCAUGUACGAUCAGGAGGAAGGCUGGAAUCACCGAACAACUGUCCUGAUGACAUACGUGAUUUAAUGACACGAUGCUGGGCCCAAGAUCCUCACAACAGACCAACUUUCUUUUAUAUUCAGCACAAACUUCAGGAGAUAAGGCACUCUCCACUGUGCUUCAGCUACUUCCUUGAAGACAAAGAGUCGGUGACUGGAUUCAUCAACCAAGCUUUUGAGGAUAUUGAUGUUCCACCUGCAGAUUCAGACAGCAUUCUUUCAACCACUCUAAUGGAAGCAAGGGAUCAAGAAGGCCUAAAUUAUUUGGUAGUAGUCAAAGAAAGCAACCAAGAUCAAGGUAGCGUCAGCUCUGCAGAACUUACUUCGGUCUAAUUCCAUCUGUCUAAUGCUCCGCUUGAGGACAGAAGAGAGAACUCUACCAAAGAAGAUGUAAGACGGAGAAAAUAUUAUGCACUUUAUAUACAUUUAAAGAUUUCUUAAAAGAAACACUAACACUCUAAAACACCAGAACUUCCAGAGAACGUCAUAAGGUACUGAAACUUGUGUACAAUAAGACAACAGUCACAUAUUUUUUAUUUUCUAAAUGCUAAGUUUCAUGCAUUUCACAAGAAAUAGAUUAAGGAAAUAAAACUUGCCAUCAGAGAGAAACUUUAUGCAGAGACAUAAACCUUGGACGCAAGCAUUCCUUCCAAAAGAGAAGUACUGAAAUGCUGUCUCAUAGAAGGGAACCACCUGAUCAUGAAAAGAAAAACAGUUCAAAUAUAGCUUCAUUGAGCACUCAUGAGAUUAUAAAAGUUGAAAAGCUAACAAAUGCUAGUUGUAUUUUUCUGAUCUCCAAAUCUGUAGGCAAUUGAAGAAAGGUGGCUGGAUUGUUCACAGCAGGGAUGGUCUACUUUAUCAUUUAAUUUAAACAUACGCUUGCAAUCAUCUCAAAUUUUAAGUUGUACAGUUAUUGAUCUGAGAAUCUAGUAUCCACAUUCCUUUUCCCUUUUAAUGUUGAUCACCUUUCAUUUCUUAAUUGACUGGAUAACGGUAAAUGUUUUUCCUUUAUGUCCUUGGAGAUCAAAUCAAAAUAUAUAAUAAAACAAUAUACAAAUAAUUCCUGAGUAAAUGGAAGCAAUAAGCUCUUUAGAAUGUUUCAUCAUGAAUAGGAAUUUAUAAAUUUUGCAGAGAUUUUCACUGACAUCUGUCAGGAAGCUAGAUUAAUGUCCUGCUUUUAUGCAAACUCUUGACAGUGGGGAACACUGGAGAGUAGUGAAAAUGCAAAUGCUAAAAUGUUUAAUGCUAAAAUGUAGAUAUUUUUAAGGAACAUCACCGCUGAAGUCAAGCUCCAAAAGUUUCUCAAAUGGAGAUCCAAUACAGAUAAACAAGAUGUUUGGCAUUUGACUAUUUGAAAGUCUUUCUUCAAAUUUAAUUGAUUUAAUUCCAAAAACUGAGGUACUUUGGAAUUAAUACUCUUUAAAAAUCAUUGGCCAAAAAACAAAACAAACAAAAAAAACCCUACCAAACCAAACCAAACCAAACCAAACAACCGAUUCAAGUUGGCUGUUACCAUGUCAUUUUUUCCUUUUACAGUUUAGCCACAUUUGUACAUGUACAAGCCACAGUUGCCAAUACCAACAGUUGAAUUCUUCUAUCUUUUCUUCUCUUAACCUACAUUCACCAGGCCAUUAGUGAUGGAUAAAUAAAUACUGUAUAAUGUUUCCCCCCUCUUCAAUUUCUGUUUGAUUAAUUGUAUAGCUAUUCCUUCCAUUUCAGUAACUUAUACAUGAGUAACAUUUACUAACAAGUAACACAUUCUAACAGGAAACUGGGAAGAUCUAUGUUCUGUGGUCACAGCACCAGGAUGACUUCAUAUGCAUGUGCAAUUCCACUUAACUCAAGAAGACUGCUCAGUCAGCAAGAUGCAGACAAAAGGUUGAGAAUGAACAUGACUUCAUACAAUAUCUUUUUCACGAUAUUCUGAUAUUAGCAAGAGAAGCCUUCAAUCCUGCCAGGAAGCUUAUCUAGGCAGCAAUGUUCACAGGCCUCAUGACUACGUCUGUGAUAUAAUCUACAUCAAUUUAAUCUUGUAUAGGUCUGAGUUGGAAAAUGAUAAUGCAAAAGCCUAUCCAACCUGAGUAAAUUGAGUUAGCGUGGAAGGUGAGUAAUAGUGGCAACAGCAGUAAUAAUUUUGACACCUCAAACCAGUCACAAAUACUCAAAGAUAAAAAAGAACAGACAGGAAGGUAAGUGUUGCUUUGUUCACAUUUUGGAAAACUAGUUUUGAUGGAGGGUUUAUUAGAGCAGGAUGAAGAACAAAGUGUCGACUUUAACGCAGUGCCAACAAACAAAACUCAGAAUAGUGAGCACUAUUGCACCUAACAGUAUGAAAAAUUGAUUGAAUAAGACACAAGUCUCUAAGUAUAUAUCUAAGAAUCCUUGUAUAUAACUUGCAGGAGUCAGUGGAAGACACAUUAUUUAACCUCUCCCAUGCAUACAGUGUGGUCCCAAGCAUGCUUGAUGAUGCCAUUCUUCAGCUCUGAGCCUCCUAGUUCCUUAUCUUCCUGUCUUAGAGAAGUACAUAUACAAAGACUGUACUGACUGGGAGUUCAAAGUUACCAUAUCUGAGUCCACUCAUAACAUUAGUUACAAAAAACUUCUUAAUCUUUCACACUUCCACAUCACACUUUUCUCUACACAUCACCAUUUCACAUUCUUUAUAACAUGAAAUUACACCUCAGCUCUUCAUAAUUAUUCUCAUUUUACUCAUCAAUUUUCCUUACACUCUGAAGGACACCUCUCACUUUCAAGCAGCCAGUGUUUGAUAAUGCUUCUCAUAGAUACCUUUGGAGACAGUAGGAGGGAUGAACAGCCGUGAAAGACUCUUUUAACACACUCCGUCUUGGGAAAGGAAAAGGGCAUUACCUGGCCUAUGUUUAUAUUUCUCCUUUGCUGACUCCACCUCUGGCAGACAAAGUGAAAGAUUCAAGAAAGUUUGAAUUUAAGAGUCUUGACUUUCAAGUCUAUCUUUUUUAACUUAAUGCAGAUGGAUUUAAGGAUGAGAAUAUCUUUUUAAGGAAACAUGUAUUUAGCAGAGAAAAAAAUCCUAAUUUAUCAGAAAGAUUAAAUAUGAGAUACAAAUGAAGCAGUCGUUAUGACUACACUUGUGUGACAUUCUGCUGAGAGACUCAUCCUUAAGUGUACAGCAAAUAUUGUGUAUCUUUACCUUCUUUGUUCAAGGCAUACAUUGAUAACGAGUAUGGGGUGUGGUAUCUAAUGUAGGCCUGGGGCCCCCAGCACAGGAAGGACUCCUGGAGCUCUUACAUCGGGUCCAGAGGAGGUCCACAA